rnacentral:rRNA from 1 species
UACGUAGGGUGCAAGCGUUGUCCGGAAUUAUUGGGCGUAAAGAGCUCGUAGGCGGUUUGUUGCGUCGGCUGUGAAAUCCCGGGGCUCAACCCCGGAACUGCAUUGGAUACUGCCUUGCUAGAGUACUGGAGAGGGAACUGGAAUUUACGGUGUAGCAGUGAAAUGCGUAGAGAUCGUAAGGAAGGCCAGUGGCGAAGGCGAGUUCCUGGACAGUUACUGACGCUGAGGCACGAAGGCCAGGGGAGCAAACGGG